UACGUAGGUGGCAAGCGUUGUCCGGAAUUAUUGGGCGUAAAGCGCGCGCAGGCGGCCUCUUGAGUCUGAUGUGAAAGCCCCCCGGCUCAACCGGGGAGGGCCAUUGGAAACUGGGAGGCUUGAGUAUAGGAGAGAAGAGUGGAAUUCCACGUGUAGCGGUGAAAUGCGUAGAGAUGUGGAGGAACACCAGUGGCGAAGGCGACUCUUUGGCCUAUAACUGACGCUGAGGCGCGAAA
rnacentral:rRNA from 1 species